rnacentral:rRNA from 1 species
GGCCUACCAUGGUGGUAACGGGUAACGGGGUGUUAGGGCACGACACCGGAGAGGGAGCCUGAGAAACGGCUACCACAUCCAAGGAUGGCAGCAGGCGCGCAAAUUACCCAAUCCCGACACGGGGAGGUAGUGACAAUAAAUAACAAUACGGGGCUCUUUAGGGUCUCGUAAUUGGAAUGAGUACAAUUUAAAUCUCUUAACGAGGAACAAUUGGAGGGCAAGUCUGGUGCCAGCAGCCGCGGUAAUUCCAGCUCCAAUAGCGUAUAUUAAAGUUGUUGCAGUUAAAAAGCUCGUAGUUGAAUUUCGGGGUCAGCAGGUUGGUCGUGCCGCUGGUAUGCACUGGUUUCGCUGAUUCCUCCUUUCUGAAGAACUGUAAUGCCAUUAAUUUGGUGUUGCAGGGAAACAGGACUGUUACUUUGAAAAAAUUAGAGUGUUUAAAGCAGGCUAACGCUUGAAUACAUUAGCAUGGAAUAAUGAAAUAGGACGUUUGAUCCUAUUUUGUUGGUUUCUAGGAUUGACGUAAUGAUUAAUAGGGAUAGUUGGGGGCAUUAGUAUUCAAUUGUCAGAGGUGAAAUUCUUGGAUUUAUUGAAGACUAACUACUGCGAAAGCAUUUGCCAAGGAUGUUUUCAUUAAUCAAGAACGAAAGUUAGGGGAUCGAAGACGAUCAGAUACCGACGUAGUCUUAACCAUAAACUAUGCCGACUAGGGAUCGGAUGAUGUUAAUUUUUUAAUGACUCAUUCGGCGCCUUACG